rnacentral:rRNA from 1 species
AGAGUUUGAUCCUGGCUCAGGACGAACGCUGGCGGCGCGCCUAACACAUGCAAGUCGAACGGAGUCAAGAGGAGCUUGCUUUUCUUGACUUAGUGGCGAACGGGUGAGUAACGCGUGAGUAACCUGCCCUGGAGUGGGGGACAACAGUUGGAAACGACUGCUAAUACCGCAUAAGCCCACGGCCCGGCAUCGGGCUGAGGGAAAAGGAUUUAUUCGCUUCAGGAUGGACUCGCGUCCAAUUAGCUAGUUGGUGAGGUAACGGCCCACCAAGGCGACGAUUGGUAGCCGGACUGAGAGGUUGAACGGCCACAUUGGGACUGAGACACGGCCCAGACUCCUACGGGAGGCAGCAGUGGGGGAUAUUGCACAAUGGGGGAAACCCUGAUGCAGCGACGCCGCGUGGAGGAAGAAGGUUUUCGGAUUGUAAACUCCUGUCGUUAGGGACGAUAAUGACGGUACCUAACAAGAAAGCACCGGCUAACUACGUGCCAGCAGCCGCGGUAAAACGUAGGGUGCAAGCGUUGUCCGGAAUUACUGGGUGUAAAGGGAGCGCAGGCGGACCGGCAAGUUGGAAGUGAAAACUAUGGGCUCAACCCAUAAAUUGCUUUCAAAACUGCUGGCCUUGAGUAGUGCAGAGGUAGGUGGAAUUCCCGGUGUAGCGGUGGAAUGCGUAGAUAUCGGGAGGAACACCAGUGGCGAAGGCGGCCUACUGGGCACCAACUGACGCUGAGGCUCGAAAGUGUGGGUAGCAAACAGGAUUAGAUACCCUGGUAGUCCACACCGUAAACGAUGAUUACUAGGUGUUGGAGGAUUGACCCCUUCAGUGCCGCAGUUAACACAAUAAGUAAUCCACCUGGGGAGUACGACCGCAAGGUUGAAACUCAAAGGAAUUGACGGGGGCC